CCCCUUUCAACCUCUCGCGAGAACCGAAGCCUGUCCGAACUUCUCCAGCGGAUGGAUUCCAGACAAGCUUCUAUGACGGACGAGCUCCAGCAACUAGGUUCCUACGAUAGCCGAUCACCUCCGAUGUCUACCGAGCCUCUCCAAUGCUAUCCGAAGUCCAUUGCCGGUCGACCUCCUACCAGGCUCCCCAUAAAACCAGACUUCCCCGAUGGAUGAUCUUCGAAUGAGCUUCCACACCUGAUAAAUCCCAGACGGACUUCCCUAGC
rnacentral:lncRNA from 1 species